CCGGGUUGGCGGAACUGGGAUACGCGCUUAGAUUACAGCUAAGUUAGACAUGAAAUGUCUUUUGGGGGUUCGAAUCCUCCACCCGGCA
rnacentral:tRNA from 1 species